CCCUUAGAUGUUCUGGGCCGCACGCGCGCUACACUGUUUGAUUCAGCGAGUCUUAACUUUGACCGAAAGGUUUGGGUAAUCUUCUAAAGUCAAACGUGAUGGGGAUCGAUCAUUGCAAUUAUUGAUCGUGAACGAGGAAUUCCUAGUAAAUGCAAGUCAUCAGCUUGCGUUGAUUACGUCCCUGCCCUUUGUACACACCGCCCGUCGCUACUACCGAUUGAAUGGUUUAGUGAGAUCUCCGGAUUGGCUCUGUAGGUCCCGCAAGGGAUUUAUUAGUAGCCAAGAAGCUGCUCAAACUUGAUCAUUUAGAGGAAGUAAAAGUCGUAACA
rnacentral:rRNA from 1 species